rnacentral:lncRNA from 1 species
CAUGGGUAGUCGGGAAUCUGUAUUGUUCUUAGUAGAUGGAAGUCGGAAUGACUUCGUGUGAAGAGUAAGUGAGAAAAAAAAAUAGUGCAUGUCAUUAUUUAUUUGAUUUUCUCUAUUUUCAGCAUAAUCGAUUUGAUUAACAUGAUAUGAAUUUGACUUGAUGAUUUCUUUAUUAAAUUAAAUUAUUUUCACAAUUAAUAAGGAACCCUGAC